CCUACGGGUGGCAGCAGUGAGGAAUAUUGGUCAAUGGCCGAGAGGCUGAACCAGCCAAGUCGCGUGAGGGAAGGCGGCCCUACGGGUUGUAAACCUCUUUUGUCGGGGAGCAAAGCGAACCACGUGUGGUUCAUUGAGAGUACCCGAAUAAAAAGCAUCGGCUAACUCCGGUCCAGCAGCCGCGGUAAUACGGAGGAUGCGAGCGUUAGCCGGAUUUAUUGGGUUUAAAGGGUGCGCAGGCGGAGGUGCAAGUCAGCGGUCAAAUUGCGGGGCUCAACCCCGUACGGCCGUUGAUACUGCAUCCCUUGAGUGCGCGAGAAGUAUGCGGAAUGCGUGGUGUAGCGGUGAAAUGCAUAGAUAUCACGCAGAACUCCGAUUGCGAAGGCAGCAUACCGGCGCGCAACUGACGCUCAUGCACGAAAGCGUGGGUAUCGAACAGGAUUAGAUACCCGAGUAGUC
rnacentral:rRNA from 1 species